CUCUCUCUCUCUCUCUCUCUCUCUCUCUCUCUCUUGCAUUGCCAGACCUUCCUCCACAGCGCUGCCAAGGAAAGUCUGGCUAGUCUACAUAGCAUUUUGGGAU